rnacentral:rRNA from 1 species
GACUGCAAGUUGGUCCACUCUGGAAGCUGCUGCGACUGCAAGGAGAUUGUGGGGAAGACAAUGUAGAUUGUGAGAACCGAAUCUGAGCAAUGGACUGAGAUGCAGGACAUGCUGGAGCAGGUCAGGCCAGAGAUGCAAGAGCUGCCGUCUUCCAGGGAUACAUGGCAACGCCGCCCAAUUGCUUCUUACAUCAGUCUUGGUUCCUUGAAUUAUGCGGUUAGUGGCCUCUACUUAUGCUUGCAUCAUUAG